rnacentral:lncRNA from 1 species
CUCUCCCCCCUCUGUCUUCUCCUCCUCCGCCAUCCGAGACAUCUUUCUUCUGGCUCCUCCUCCGCUCGAUCCUCUCCACCUCCUUCUCUCUGUCCGAAAUCUCCUCUCCACCUCCUCCUCCGCUCAGUCCUCUCUCUCCUCUGCUUCCUCCUCUUAUGCCAUCCGGAAUAUUUUUUCUCCAUCUCCUCCUCCUCUACUCGACCCCCUUCACCUCCUUCUCUUCGUCCGAAACAUCUUCUCUCCAUCUUCUCCUCCACUCGGUUUCCUUCCUCCUCUAUCUUCUUUUUCUCCUCU